rnacentral:rRNA from 1 species
AGGACGAACGCUGGCGGCGUGCUUAACACAUGCAAGUCGAGCGGAAAGGCCCUUCGGGGUACUCGAGCGGCGAACGGGUGAGUAACACGUGAGCAAUCUGCCCUUAGCUUCGGGAUAGCUCCGGGAAACCGGAAUUAAUACCGGAUAUGACUAUGGCUGACAUCUGCUGUGGUGGAAAGGAUUCCGGCUAAGGAUGGGCUCGCGGCCUAUCAGCUAGUUGGUGGGGUAAUGGCCCACCAAGGCGACGACGGGUA